rnacentral:rRNA from 1 species
UACGUAGGCAGCAAGCGUUGUUCGGAAUUACUGGGCGUAAAGAGUGUGUAGGCGGUGCUCUAAGUCUGUCGUGAAAUCUCCCGGCUUAACUGGGAGGGUGCGGCGGAAACUGGAAUGCUAGAGGGUGGGAGAGGAAAGCGGAAUUCCUGGUGUAGCGGUGAAAUGCGCAGAUAUCAGGAGGAACACCGGUGGCGAAGGCGGAUCUCUGGGCCUUACCUGACGCUGAGGCGCGAAAGCUAGGGGAGCAAACAGG